CCAAGGAGUUUAACCCGUGCGCAAGUCGUAGGGUUUCCCUCGAAGCCCGAAGGCGCAAUGAAAGUGAACCGUAGGCGGGAUCCCCUCUUAAUCUCCUGCGGGAGUAGGGGCGCACCGCCGGCCCGUCUCGUUUGGUCGGCGGGUUCUUUUUUUCCGAUCCCUUCGCGGGGACCGGUAUAAAAAAAAAAGGCUCAUCGGCGGAGGCGGAGCGAGAGCGUACACGUUAGGACCCGAAAGACGGUGAACUAUUCCCGGACAGGACGAAGCCGGAGGAAACUCCGGUGGAGGUCCGCAGCGAUUCUGACGUGCAAAUCGAUCGUCGGAUCCGGGUAUAGGGGCGAAAGACUAAUCGAACCGUCUA
rnacentral:rRNA from 1 species